CCUACGGGAGGCAGCAGUAGGGAAUCUUCCACAAUGGGCGAAAGCCUGAUGGAGCAACGCCGCGUGGGUGAAGAAGGUCUUCGGAUCGUAAAACCCUGUUGUUAGAGAAGAAAGUGCGUGAGAGUAACUGUUCCCGUUUCGCCGGUCUCUCACCCGCAAGCCACGGCUCACUACGUGCCAGCAGCCGCGGUAAUACGUAGGUGGCAAGCGUUAUCCGGCUUUAUUGGGCGUAAAGGGAACGCAGGCGGUGUUUUAAGUCUGAUGUGAAAGCCUGCGGCUUAACCGGGGUAGUGCAUGGGAAACUGGGAGAAGGGAGGGCAGAAGAGGAGAGGGGAAAGACAGGGGGAGCGGGGAAAGGCGGAGAGAGAAGGAAGAACACCAGGGGAGAAAGCGG
rnacentral:rRNA from 1 species